UACGUAGGGGGCAAGCGUUGUCCGGAUUUAUUGGGCGUAAAGAGCGUGUAGGCGGCCAGACAAGUCUGCUGUGAAAACUCGAGGCUCAACCUCGAGCUGUCGGUGGAAACUGUCUGGCUAGAGUCCGGAAGAGGAGAAUGGAAUUCCUGGUGUAGCGGUGAAAUGCGCAGAUAUCAGGAAGAACACCCGUGGCGAAGGCGGUUCUCUGGGACGGUACUGACGCUGAGACGCGAAAGCGUGGGGAGCGAACAGG
rnacentral:rRNA from 1 species